rnacentral:rRNA from 1 species
AUUGAACGCUGGCGGCAGGCCUAACACAUGCAAGUCGAACGAGUGGCGGACGGGUGAGUAAUGUCUGGGAAACUGCCCGAUGGAGGGGGAUAACUACUGGAAACGGUAGCUAAUACCGCAUACCAUCGGAUGUGCCCAGAUGGGAUUAGCUAGUAGGUGGGGUAACGGCUCACCUAGGCGACGAUCCCUAGCUGGUCUGAGAGGAUGACAAGCCACACUGGAACUGAGACACGGUACAGACGCCUACGGGAGGCAGCAGUUGUGAAUAUUGCACAAUGGGCGCAAGCCUGAUGCAGCCAUGCCGCGUGUAUGAAGAAGGCCGUCGGGUUGUAAAGUACUUUCAGCGAGGAGGCGUUACUCGCAGAAGAAGCACCGGCUAACUCCGGGCCAGCAGACGCGGUAAUUC